rnacentral:tRNA from 1 species
UUAGUCCUAGCUCAGUCGGUAGAGCACCUGUAUAUGGUGAGCGAAAGCGCCUAGCAAUACCUAAGAGGAGGUCGCAGGUUCGAAUCCAGCCUGCCAAA